GUCGAGAAUUUUUCACAAUGGGGGAAACCCUGAUGGAGCGACGCCGCGUGGGGGAUGAAUGGCUUCGGCCCGUAAACCCCUGUCAUGAGCGAUCAACCCUUUCCCGUGAACAUCGGGAGAGGUUGAUGGUAGUUCAAGAGGAAGGGACGGCUAACUCUGUGCCAGCAGCCGCGGUAAUACAGAGGUCCCAAGCGUUGUUCGGAUUCACUGGGCGUAAAGGGUGCGUAGGCGGUCGGGUAAGUCUGACGUGAAAUCCCGUGGCUCAACCAUGGAACGGCGUCGGAAACUAUCCGGCUUGAGGGUGCGAGGGGGGACUGGAAUUCUCGGUGUAGCAGUGAAAUGCGUAGAUAUCGAGAGGAACACCAGUGGCGAAGGCGAGUCCCUGGAGCACUCCUGACGCUGAGGCACGAAAGCUAGGGGAGCAAACAGGAUUAGAAACCCCGGUAGUCC
rnacentral:rRNA from 1 species